CGUGAGAUGUUGGGUUAAGUCCCGCAACGAGCGCAACCCUUGCCAUUAGUUGCUACGAAAGGGCACUCUAAUGGGACUGCCGGUGACAAACCGGAGGAAGGUGGGGAUGACGUCAGGUCAUCAUGGCCCUUAUGGGUAGGGCUACACACGUCAUACAAUGGCCGGUACAGAGGGCUGCCAACCGCGAGGGGGAGCCAAUCCCAGAAAACCGGUCGUAGUCCGGAUCGUAGUCUGCAACUCGACUGCG
rnacentral:rRNA from 1 species